UACGUAGGGGGCUAGCGUUGUCCGGAAUCAUUGGGCGUAAAGAGCGCGUAGGCGGCCAGAUAAGUCCGGUGUGAAAGUCACAGGCUCAACCUGUGAAUGCCGCUGGAAACUGUCUGGCUAGAGUCCGGAAGGGGCGAGUGGAAUUCCUGGUGUAGCGGUGAAAUGCGCAGAUAUCAGGAGGAACACCGGUGGCGAAGGCGGGUCUCUGGGCCGAUACUGACGCUGAGGAGCGAAAGCGUGGGGAGCGAACAGG
rnacentral:rRNA from 2 species